UCGAGAAUCUUCGGCAAUGAGCGCAAGCUUGACCGAGCGACGCCGCGUGCGGGAUGAAGGCCUUCGGGUUGUAAACCGCUUUGGUCCGAAAGAAAGGGUAAAACUUGAUCGAUCGGAGAAACAAGGACGGGCUAAGUUCGUGCCAGCAGCCGCGGUAAGACGAACCGUCCAAACGUUAUUCGGAAUCACUGGGCUUAAAGGGCGCGUAGGCGGCCGAGCGGGUCGUGGGUGAAAUCCUCCAGCUUAACUGGAGAACUGCUUACGAUACCACUGCGGCUCGAGGAAGGAAGGGGUCAUGGGAACUGUCGGUGGAGCGGUGAAAUGCGUUGAUAUCGACAGGAACGCCUGUGGCGAAAGCGCAUGACUGGUCCUUUUCUGACGCUGAGGCGCGAAAGCCAGGGGAGCAAACGGGAUUAGAUACCCCCGUAGUCCCUGAGCGGGCUGGCAAGGCGCAU
rnacentral:rRNA from 1 species